UUGUGGAGACCUGUCUUUAGCUAAUGUCUUGUUGGUAUAUUAAUAUACUUGUUGUAAUUUAAACUACUUUUGGGUCCUUUCAGUUCUGCAUGCGGAAGGAGGUCGUUUCCAGAUAAAUGUCAGAGUUGUUUUUUAUUUCUAAUCGAAGGAAUCCUCGAUUGUUUAUACUUGCCGAUGUUAAAUAAAUGGACAUAAUUAUUUCAUGAGCAUUUAUGCUUUGAUAGGGUGUAGUAUUUGUCAUUUUGAUUAGCGAUUUAUCAGUUAUACAGUUAUUUCGCAGGGAGAUAGGCUGCAGAUCUCCCGGAGAUAUUAUUUGCUUAUGUUUAAUAGUUUGUAUAUAUAUAUAGAUAGAGAUAAUUCUUGUACGGAUAUAUCUGUGAAAUUAAAAAGGAACUUAAACAUCGAAUUGGUCAAUAUUUUAUGUAUAUUUGCAGUUUUUUAUAACGGAUAUAUGAUUAGUGACCUGGAACAGUAUAAUCCAAGCCUGGAGUAUUGAGGUACUGUUUUGUGUGUUAUUGGAAGGUAUACACUUUAACGAGAGGUUAAAGAGCAAGUUGCUGUUUGAAGUAAAACAAAAUAUUUCUGCACUUGUGGAAGCAUUGCUGUGAGUAGUAAAUUUGCCAACUGCCAAGAGAUAAUGCCACGAGCAAAACGUCAAAAAACCAGCGGGUCACCGAAGCGAAUUCCAGAUGAUACAGCCGCACCGCCACGCCAACCUGCCGUUUCAGUCCCACAACCGGUUGACCUGAACCCGCAACAACUUGAGGUUGUGGCAAACCGUGUUGCAGAACACCUUCGCCCUAUGUUUGCGCAGCAAAGGAGCAAUUUGGCUGAUGAUUCGGCUGCACAGUCAGACGGUGUUGAACAAAAUGUUUCAGAUACAUCUUACGUGUUCAAGUUCGACCUACCCACUUUCUUGCCUUCAAUCGUUACAGCUUCACAUGCAAUACUGACAUUAUAUGGAGGAAUACUGAGUGUUUUCACAUGUUUAAUUAUGGACAGUGUUUGAUUUCCUUUACUGUGAAAUAUGUAGGUAAAAUGUAUGAACGUUUAAUUUGUUUCUUUUUACGUAUGUCUGUUUACAUGUUCCUGAUCUCCGUUGUAUUCUGAUCCCAGGUUCGGCGGUUAGGUCAGCCUCCACCAGUAUAUAUCUUAACUUUGUGUAAUAAGAAUUUUGUUUGUUUCAAGUAUACUGUAUUAGGCCUCUGUUCCCAGGGCCUCGACAUCUGCAUUUUUAACCAUAUACUUUAUAUCAUAUGUAUUUGUGUAUUUACAUUUAUGUGAAGCUGUGACCAAUUUCUGCCAAACAUAAUCUAAACGAAAUUAGAUAUUAAUUGCCAUAACACUUUGUUAAUAGUAAAUUUAAUGUAAUCAUA
rnacentral:misc_RNA from 1 species